rnacentral:rRNA from 2 species
GGGUUGUGAGGUUAAGCGACUAAGCGUACACGGUGGAUGCCCUGGCAGUCAGAGGCGAUGAAGGACGUGCUAAUCUGCGAUAAGCGUCGGUAAGGUGAUAUGAACCGUUAUAACCGGCGAUUUCCGAAUGGGGAAACCCAGUGUGAUUCGUCACACUAUCAUUAACUGAAUCCAUAGGUUAAUGAGGCGAACCGGGGGAACUGAAACAUCUAAGUACCCCGAGGAAAAGAAAUCAACCGAGAUUCCCCCAGUAGCGGCGAGCGAACGGGGAGCAGCCCAGAGCCUGAAUCAGUGUGUGUGUUAGUGGAAGCGUCUGGAAAGGCGCGCGAUACAGGGUGACAGCCCCGUACACAAAAAUGCACAUGCUGUGAGCUCGAUGAGUAGGGCGGGACACGUGGUAUCCUGUCUGAAUAUGGGGGGACCAUCCUCCAAGGCUAAAUACUCCUGACUGACCGAUAGUGAACCAGUACCGUGAGGGAAAGGCGAAAAGAACCCCGGCGAGGGGAGUGAAAAAGAACCUGAAACCGUGUACGUACAAGCAGUGGGAGCACGCUUAGGCGUGUGACUGCGUACCUUUUGUAUAAUGGGUCAGCGACUUAUAUUCUGUAGCAAGGUUAACCGAAUAGGGGAGCCGAAGGGAAACCGAGUCUUAACUGGGCGUUAAGUUGCAGGGUAUAGACCCGAAACCCGGUGAUCUAGCCAUGGGCAGGUUGAAGGUUGGGUAACACUAACUGGAGGACCGAACCGACUAAUGUUGAAAAAUUAGCGGAUGACUUGUGGCUGGGGGUGAAAGGCCAAUCAAACCGGGAGAUAGCUGGUUCUCCCCGAAAGCUAUUUAGGUAGCGCCUCGUGAAUUCAUCUCCGGGGGUAGAGCACUGUUUCGGCAAGGGGGUCAUCCCGACUUACCAACCCGAUGCAAACUGCGAAUACCGGAGAAUGUUAUCACGGGAGACACACGGCGGGUGCUAACGUCCGUCGUGAAGAGGGAAACAACCCAGACCGCCAGCUAAGGUCCCAAAGUCAUGGUUAAGUGGGAAACGAUGUGGGAAGGCCCAGACAGCCAGGAUGUUGGCUUAGAAGCAGCCAUCAUUUAAAGAAAGCGUAAUAGCUCACUGGUCGAGUCGGCCUGCGCGGAAGAUGUAACGGGGCUAAACCAUGCACCGAAGCUGCGGCAGCGACGCUUAUGCGUUGUUGGGUAGGGGAGCGUUCUGUAAGCCUGUGAAGGUGUACUGUGAGGUAUGCUGGAGGUAUCAGAAGUGCGAAUGCUGACAUAAGUAACGAUAAAGCGGGUGAAAAGCCCGCUCGCCGGAAGACCAAGGGUUCCUGUCCAACGUUAAUCGGGGCAGGGUGAGUCGACCCCUAAGGCGAGGCCGAAAGGCGUAGUCGAUGGGAAACAGGUUAAUAUUCCUGUACUUGGUGUUACUGCGAAGGGGGGACGGAGAAGGCUAUGUUGGCCGGGCGACGGUUGUCCCGGUU